UACGGAGGAUGCGAGCGUUAUCCGGAUUUAUUGGGUUUAAAGGGUGCGUAGGCGGCUUUUUAAGUCAGCGGUGAAAUUUUGCAGCUUAACUGUAACAGUGCCGUUGAUACUGGGGAGCUAGGAUUUGGUUGCUGUGGGUGGAAUGUGUGGUGUAGCGGUGAAAUGCUUAGAGAUCACACAGAAUAUCGAUUGCGAAGGCAGCUCACAAAGCCAAGAUUGACGCUGAGGCACGAAGGCGUGGGGAUCAAACAGGAUUA
rnacentral:rRNA from 1 species